GAAGCGAACGCGGUGAACUGAAACAUCUAAGUAACCGCAGGAAAAGAAAUCAACCGAGAUUCCCAAAGUAGUGGCGAGCGAAAUGGGAUGAGCCUUGCACUCUUUAUUUGUAUUGUUAGCCGAACGCUCUGGAAAGUGCGGCCAUAGCAGGUGAUAGCCCUGUAGGCGAAAACAGUAUGAAAGAACUAGGUGUGCGACAAGUAGGGCGGGACACGUGAAAUCCUGUCUGAAGAUGGGGGGACCAUCCUCCAAGGCUAAAUACUCGUGAUCGACCGAUAGUGAACCAGUACCGUGAGGGAAAGGCGAAAAGAACCCCGGGAGGGGAGUGAAAUAGAUCCUGAAACCGCAUGCAUACAAACAGUCGGAGCCUCGUAAGGGGUGACGGCGUACCUUUUGUAUAAUGGGUCAGCGACUUACGUUCAGUAGCAAGCUUAACCGUAUAGGGCAGGCGUAGCGAAAGCGAGUCCGAAUAGGGCGUUCAGUUGCUGGGCGUAGACCCGAAACCAGGUGAUCUAUCCAUGGCCAGGAUGAAGGUGCGGUAACACGUACUGGAGGUCCGAACCCACUAACGUUGAAAAGUUAGGGGAUGAGCUGUGGAUAGGGGUGAAAGGCUAAACAAACCUGGAAAUAGCUGGUUCUCUCCGAAAACUAUUUAGGUAGUGCCUCGUGUCUCACCUUCGGGGGUAGAGCACUGUCAUGGUUGGGGGGUCUAUUGCAGAUUACCCCGCCAUAGCAAACUCCGAAUACCGAAGAGUGCAAUCACGGGAGACAGACAUCGGGUGCUAACGUCCGGUGUCAAGAGGGAAACAACCCAGACCGCCAGCUAAGGUCCCCAAAUAUAGCUAAGUGGGAAACGAAGUGGGAAGGCUAAAACAGUCAGGAGGUUGGCUUAGAAGCAGCCACCCUUUAAAGAAAGCGUAAUAGCUCACUGAUCGAGUCGUCCUGCGCGGAAGAUGUAACGGGGCUAAGCUAUAUACCGAAGCUGCGGAUGCGAGCUUGCUCGCAUGGUAGGAGAGCGUUCCGUAAGCCUGCGAAGGUGCCUUGUAAAGGGUGCUGGAGGUAUCGGAAGUGCGAAUGCUGACAUGAGUAGCGAUAAAGGGGGUGAAAGGCCCCCUCGCCGUAAGCCCAAGGUUUCCUACGCAACGUUCAUCGGCGUAGGGUGAGUCGGCCCCUAAGGCGAGGCAGAAAUGCGUAGCUGAUGGGAAGCAGGUCAAUAUUCCUGCACCAUUGUUAGAUGCGAUGGGGGGACGGAUCGCGGAAGGUUGUCCGGGUGUUGGAAGUCCCGGUCGCUGCAUUGGAGAAGGCGCUUAGGCAAAUCCGGGCGC
rnacentral:rRNA from 1 species